rnacentral:lncRNA from 10 species
CCUCCUCAUCAUCAUCAUCAUCUGGUUGCUUUCAGCAAGGUUCAGUAGCUACAGAACUCUCCAUCAUCAUCAUCAUCAUCAUCUGGUUGCUUUUGGCAAGGUUCAGUAGCUACAGAACUCUCCUUCAUCAUCAUCAUCAUCUGGUUGCUCUUGGCAAGGUUCAGUAGCUACAGAACUCUCCUCCUCCUCCUCCUCCUCCUCCUCAUCAUCAUCAUCUGGUUGCUUUUAGCAAGGUUCAGUAGCUACAGAACUCUCCUCCUCCUCCUCCUCCUCCUCAUCAUCAUCAUCAUCUGGUUGCUUUCAGCAAGGUUCAGUAGCUACAGAACUCUCCAUCAUCAUCAUCAUCAUCAUCAUCAUCAUCAUCAUCAUCUGGUUGCUUUUGGCAAGGUUCAGUAGCUACAGAACUCUCCUUCAUCAUCAUCAUCAUCAUCAUCUGGUUGCUUUUGGCAAGGUUCAGUAGCUACAGAACUCUCCUUCAUCAUCAUCAUCAUCAUCAUCAUCAUCUGGUUGCUUUUGGCAAGGUUCAGUAGCUACAGAACUCUCCUCCUCCUCCUCCUCCUCCUCCUCAUCAUCAUCAUCUGGUUGCUUUCAGCAAGGUUCAGUAGCUACAGAACUCUCCAUCAUCAUCAUCAUCAUCAUCAUCAUCAUCAUCAUCAUCUGGUUGCUUUUGGCAAGGUUCAGUAGCUACAGAACUCUCCUUCAUCAUCAUCAUCAUCAUCAUCUGGUUGCUUUUGGCAAGGUUCAGUAGCUACAGAACUCUCCUUCAUCAUCAUCAUCAUCAUCAUCAUCUGGUUGCUUUUGGCAAGGUUCAGUAGCUACAGAACUCUCCUCCUCCUCCUCCUCCUCCUCCUCAUCAUCAUCAUCUGGUUGCUUUUAGCAAGGUUCAGUAGCUACAGAACUCUCCUCCUCCUCCUCCUCCUCAUCAUCAUCAUAAUCUGGUUGCUUUUAGCAAGGUUCAGUAGCUACAGAACUCUCCUCGUCCUCAUCAUCAUCAUCAUCAUCAUCAUCUGGUUGCUUUUAGCAAGGUUCAGUAGCUACAGAACUCUCCUCCUCAUCAUCAUCAUCAUUAUUCUUUAUAGGGCACCCAUUUAUGGAAGGCC